CUUCUUUGUUCAUAACUUAGGUUGAUAAUAUCAUGAAGAAGAGUACUCAGGUCAAUCUUAUUAAUUUCUUAUCAGCAUUGUCUUUCUCAUCUCUCCUCCUAACAGUUUGGGCGCAAACGAAUUCAAAUGAUGUGGAAGCAAUAGAUUUGCUACAAACAACUUUUUCUUAUGCGCUAUCUUCAACCGGUGAUCCAUGUCUUCCCAUACCAUUUAUAUGGGUUCAAUGUAGCUCCCAUAUCACACCUCGAGUAACAGCAUUAAAUCUAGGUAAGUAUUUUUUGGUUGCGAGCUCUACGUUACUACCUCUCCCA